rnacentral:rRNA from 1 species
CUACGGGCGGCUCCAGUGAGGAAUAUUGCACAAUGGGGGGAACCCUGAUGCAGCAACGCCGCGUGGAGGAUGACGCAUUCCGGUGUGUAAACUCCUUUUAUAUGUCAAGAAAAUGACGGUAGCAUAUGAAUAAGCACCGGCUAACUCCGUGCCAGCAGCCGCGGUAAUACGGAGGGUGCAAGCGUUACUCGGAAUCACUGGGCGUAAAGGACGCGUAGGCGGGUUGGAAAGUCAGGUGUGAAAUCCUACAGCUUAACUGUAGAACUGCACUUGAAACUUCUAAUCUUGAGUAUGGGAGGGGGAGAUGGAAUUAGUGGUGUAGGGGUAAAAUCCGUAGAUAUCACUAGGAAUACCUAAAGCGAAGGCGAUCUCCUGGAACAUUACUGACGCUAAGGCGUGAAAGCGUGGGGAGCAAACAGGAUUAGAUACCCGCGUAGUC